GGGCCCGUAGCUCAGCUUGGUAGAGCAACAGCCUUUUAAGCUGUGGGUCGCGCGUUCGAAUCGCGUCGGGCCCG
rnacentral:tRNA from 1 species